CAGGUUUAACUCAGAAAUAAUCGAAAAUUAUAAGAGAUCUGUAACUAUCCAAAAAUCCACCAAAUGUAUUUUAUAUUGUAUUAAAAUAUCAGGAUAUGGGACGGGGCCUGACUGCCAAGUGAGCUCCUUAGCUUGUGAGAAAUCAGCUUAUAAAUCCACAUAACUUGUAACUGAGUGGCUGAAUUUGACUCUCAAUCUGUGUAGACAGUUUUAGCAACUUCUGAACAGUUUUACCAGCAUUACUGGGAGGUUUGUGGGAUUUGAUGCUUACUGCCAUUUGUUCUGGGGCGGGAAACGCGGC